GACAGAGAAGAGAGGGGCAAGGGAGGACGGUGGAUGACAGGGAAGACGAGUGGGGGCAGAGCUGCUCGGGACCAUGGCUGAGGCCAUCACCUAUGCAGAUCUGAGACCCAGGGGCUGAUGAGGAUGGAGAACUCACCUACGAGAAUGUUCAAGUGCCCGCAGUCCCAGGGGGGCCCUCAAGCUUGGCUUCUUCUGUACUAGGGGACAAAGCAGCGGUCAAGUCGGAGCAGCCAACUGCGUCCUGGAGAGCCGUGACGUCACCAGCUGUCGGGCGGAUUCUCCCCUGUGAGUGCCUGUGCGGGGCGGCCGCGGGGCCACGUGCUCGCGCCUGUCCCGGCUGCGGAUGGCGCUGGGCCCCGCGGGGUGCAGCUCUUUCCGGGAUGAGCCCGGGCGCAGCCCUUCCAACCGCCCGGGCUGCCGUGCCACAUUGAACUUCAGCCGGUGCGCCCGAAUCCGACGUGCACCGCCCCCCUGCGGAUGGUCCCAAUUCACCUACCUGCCCCCCUUCCCUUCUCUCAGUCUGAUAUUUCCUUCCCCUUCUCCCAGGUAACGCCCCCGAGUCCUCA
rnacentral:sRNA from 1 species